AUUGAACGCUGGCGGCAUGCUUUACACAUGCAAGUCGAACGGUAACAGGCCUUCGGGUGCUGACGAGUGGCGCACGGGUGCGUAAUGCAUCGGAACGUGCCCAGAGGUGGGGGAUAACGCAGCGAAAGCUGUGCUAAUACCGCAUGUGAUCUGAGGAUGAAAGCGGGGGACCAGGCAGCAAUGUUUGGCCUCGCGCCUUUGGAGCGGCCGAUGUCAGAUUAGGUAGUUGGUGGGGUAAAGGCCUACCAAGCCGACGAUCUGUAGCUGGUCUGAGAGGACGACCAGCCACACUGGGACUGAGACACGGCCCAGACUCCUACGGGAGGCAGCAGUGGGGAAUUUUGGACAAUGGGCGCAAGCCUGAUCCAGCAAUGCCGCGUGCGGGAAGAAGGCCUUCGGGUUGUAAACCGCUUUUGUACGGAACGAAAAGGAUCUGGCUAAUACCUGGGGGUGAUGACGGUACCGUAAGAAUAAGCACCGGCUAACUACGUG
rnacentral:rRNA from 1 species